UGGGGCUUGAAGCAUAAGGGCUAUCUCCCCUCCUUGUUUCUUGAUUAAAGCCGGUUUGAAGAUGAUGAUACAGGUACCGUUGUACCUAUAGCGUGUGACCCGUUACCUUUCGAGCUAGAGUAUGGACUGAGUGAUAGGUGGAUGCCAGAAGUGGAGGAGCAAGACCAUGACUGUGCUUGUGACCACUAUGCUUAUGCCGCACUCUAAGGACCAUGGUGCACUUUUGGUGAUUUUUGAUAUUGAAUGAUACUAUUGGUAUUCUUUUGGGCUUAUGUAUGUAUAAGCCAUGAUUAUUUGUAAAUGGAUAAAGUUGGUUAUGGAUAUGUACAUUAUCAUUAGAUGUUCCCCAUUUUACUUAUGAUUUCGUUAUUAUACUUUGAUUC